rnacentral:rRNA from 1 species
UACAGAGGUCUCAAGCGUUGUUCGGAUUCAUUGGGCGUAAAGGGUGCGUAGGCGGCGCGGUAAGUCGGGUGUGAAAUCUCGGAGCUUAACUCCGAAACUGCAUUCGAUACUGCCGUGCUUGAGGACUGGAGAGGAGACUGGAAUUUACGGUGUAGCGGUGAAAUGCGUAGAUAUCGUAAGGAAGACCAGUGGCGAAGGCGGGUCUCUGGACAGUUACUGACGCUGAGGCACGAAGGUAAGGGGAGCAAACGGG